rnacentral:rRNA from 1 species
GAUGAACGCUAGCGGGAGGCUUAACACAUGCAAGUCGAGGGGUAACAUGAGGUAGCAAUACUUUGAUGACGACCGGCGCACGGGUGAGUAACGCGUAUGUAACCUACCUUGUACAGGGGGAUAGCCCGGAGAAAUUCGGAUUAAUACCCCAUAAUGAUAUCUGAAGGCAUCUUUAGGUAUUUAAAGUUUCGACGGUACGAGAUGGGCAUGCGUGACAUUAGCUAGUUGGUAAGGUAACGGCUUACCAAGGCUGCGAUGUCUAGGGGUCCUGAGAGGGUGCUCCCCCACACUGGUACUGAGAAACGGACCAGACUCCUACGGGAGGCAGCAUUGAGGAAUAUUGGUCAAUGGGCGUAAGCCUGAACCAGCCAUCCCGCGUGAAGGAAGAAGGCGCUAUGCGUCGUAAACUUCUUUUCCGGAGGAAUAAAAUUUCGUACGUGUACGGGACUGAAGGUACUCCGGGAAUAAGCAUCGGCUAACUCCGUGCCAGCCGCCGCGGUAACAC